UAGGCUGCUGAUCAGUCACGCACUAACCCCGAACAUGGCACACACACAUUGGCCUAUAAUUGACCACGAAUCUGGUCUGACCACGAAUCUGGUCCACAUAUUUUAUAAAAACUAAUCCAGUUCUAACAAUUUAGAUCAAUAAACAAUUCAAUCAACAGAACAGAAUUAUAAUCAUUAUAAACAACAGAAAUAUUCCAAAUUAACUUUUGAGAAUCAACAUUUCAUAGACCACAGUUUGUCUUUUGAUAAAUCAUAGUUCAGGAAAUUCCUAACUAUUCAGUAUCCUCCAUUAUCGGCUAAGCAACUGAAUUUAGCCUGCUAAACCAGCAUGACAAUGGCGGGUUGAAUAAUCAAGAAGAUCCCAAUUCAUUCAAAGCUCUAACUAUCACUGAGCAACACAUGCUUCAAUGACAAUCUGAACUUCGAAUUAAUUUGUAAAACGGAAAUUCUUUAGAAACUUGAAGAUUAGAAAGAAUGGUUCAGAAUACUCGCACUUUCGAACAUUGAAAAGAAAGGUAUGAAUACUUGAAACAUAUACCAAAGGAAUGGAUCAGAAUAUUUGCAAUAUAUCCAAGAGAAAGGUGUAGGAUACUUGCAACACAUGUAA
rnacentral:lncRNA from 1 species